UCUUCAGCUUCGUCGAACCCUUUAGGGAUGAUACUUGGCUUCAAUUAGUAGGAUUUCAAAGAGGUUUGAUCCGAAAUAUUAACAGCAAAGAGGAAUCUUCUAGGUGGACAACAUGCAUUCGAGUCCAACGAAAGAUUUUACGUGGUUUAUGGCCAACUACUACAUUGUGUGAGGAGUACGGAUCAGAAGAAAUGAGAUCAUCUUCAGUCAUCUUCAGACUGCCUCCUGACUUGUUUUUGAUCUGCAGCAGAUAGCAUGUGGUGGUCGACGACAGGAAGGAGAAUAUACCCGACUGUAAACUCACCUGUUCAUAUCAUUACAUUUAAUUACUUUGGUAAUUUAAAAUUAAUCCCCUAACCAUAAUUUUAAAAAGGUACUCUUUCAUUAAUUUAUAUUCUGUUUCUUAGUAACUAGCGAUAAGACUUUUUGCUGAAAACCUUAAAGGUAAUACAA